CUUCACCGAGCCGAGCCACAGCGGCCGUUCGGAGGAGCGGUCCUGCCCGUACGUGGCCAGCAGCGCCUGCGCCUC
rnacentral:antisense_RNA from 1 species